UACAGAGGGUGCAAGCGUUAAUCGGAAUUACUGGGCGUAAAGGGCGCGUAGGCGGUUGAUUAAGUUGGAUGUGAAAUCCCUGGGCUUAACCUAGGAACUGCAUCCGAUACUGGUCAGCUAGAGUGCGGUAGAGGGUAGUGGAAUUUCCGGUGUAGCGGUGAAAUGCGUAGAUAUCGGAAGGAACACCAGUGGCGAAGGCGGCUACCUGGACUGACACUGACGCUGAGGCGCGAGAGCGUGGGGAGCAAACAGG
rnacentral:rRNA from 1 species